GCCUGGGUGGCUCAGUGGUUGAGCCUCUGCCUUGGGCUCAGAUCGUGAUACUGGAGUCGUGGGAUUGAGUCCCACAUCGGGCU
rnacentral:tRNA from 1 species